rnacentral:tRNA from 1 species
GCCGAAGUGGCGGAAUCGGUAGACGCAGCGGACUCAAAAAUCCGCCGCCCUUAAAAAGCGUGUGGGUUCGAGUCCCACCUUCGGCACCA